AAAUAGGUAUCAGAUGAUACAGUCUUUAAGCAGUUGAGAGGACAGAGAAACAUAGCAUUUUCUCUUUAUAGCUGAGGUAUGGAGUCAAUUUGUCUUUGUUGCCAUUAACACAGUGCUGUUUCCCAGGCUUUAACUUCUACUAGGAUGGAAAAAAGUUUCCUGAGUGUCAGGCAGAGGGAUCAGACUCUUCCCAGCAUCAUUCCCAGCAUCAAUCCCCCGCUUCUUGCCUCUUUUUACGCAGAACAAAAAGUGAUUAAAAAUGAGAUGCAAAGCACGCCUCUCCAGGGAUCAAUAAUUGCCCUGCUUGAAAAAUUAGCCAGUUUGGGGUAAUCAGUGCUCUGUGGUGCCCAUGUUAGUUAAGGGAGAUGCACUUAACUCUACAGUUUAAGCAUUUUAUGGAGGCAGAGGAGUUUGCAGUCUGGAAGAUGAGUCCUGACUCCUGCACAGAGUUUGGAACCAAUGGACCUCAUGAGCUGCAGUCUCACUCGGCCCUGUGCUCUCUGCAGUCCUGUUCUGGGUCUGCCAGGCGUGCAGGGGUUGAUUUGCAAUUUAGCCAGUUGCUGACCACCCGGUGGGACCAAACAAGUCUGGAAUUGAUAUUUGGGGGCUACCAGAGCAGGACCCGGGCCUGUGAAAUGUAGGGUAGCCUUGGAGAUAAUUAAAGGACUUCCAGAAGUUCCCCAGGCCCACGGCAACAGUGGUGCUGUUUGGUACAAAUAACUUGGCCCUCAUUGCAGGCAGAUGGGGUCGCAUGAUAAGGGCUGGCCAGUUGCACAUUCAGGCAACCAAAGUGGCUCAGCACUGGCUCCCUCAGUGGUCCUGGACCACUGCUUUCUUACAGCUUUACUCUGCUGUUUGUUUUCAUUCAAGUACAGUGAGCUCUCAGCUCUAAUAGUUUCUAACAGCAGCUUUUCAAAAAGUGGGGACCCCCUCCCUGAAUACAACUAACACCGCGGGGCAGCCACUCAGCUUCAUCCUCCCCGAGAGGAGCUUGGAAAGCCAUAAAACCUGCAAAACAAACGAUGCAGCCAAGUUUACAAAUAUGCAGAUAUUAACAGUGCAAAGGACAUUCGGCAUUGCCUGGAGGGACAUGUAUUUUGGUCCCUUACGUCCUUUCUGAGGGGCGCUGGGGGCAGCUGGGUGUCCGGCACGUCCCGGAGGCCCACCAGAGGUGCCUCCCGUGGAUUUUGGCCACGCCGGGAGCCCCUGGACACCACCGCAGGUGCCAAGUUUCUCACCAUCCUGCCCUUUGCCUCCUGUCUUGCUCUUACCGCGGCGUGGGAUGAGGUGGGAACGGGGCAGCCGUGAGCAGGGGGACUGCCGGCAGCUCCUGGUAAUCACUGCGCUCUGAAGUCCCGCCGGUAACUCUGGUGGGACUGCGAGUUUUACCGGCCGCAGCGCACUGGCGGCCAGGCGGAGGCAUUGACGGCGCACCUUUGUAAUCCUAAUUACGAGCGAGACUGAAGAGAUGUCUCGACUGCUCGGGGCCAGCCGGCGCCUCGCACAAGCCCGUCAUGCAGAAUGCGUUGCCGGGCCAGCACCAGGAGAGUCCCGACGUGGCAGUCGCUCCCGGGGCGUCAGGACGUCCUGUGGCCGCGGCCCCUCCGCGCCCGCCGAAGCCGCGCUGACCGGGACCAGCAGUGCGCGGGGGGCCGGGGAGCCCUGCUCUGCAGGACGGGGGCGAGCAGAGCCUCACCGACUGCUCCGCGAGGUUUUGGCAGGGUUGGAGGGACUGUGGUUCGGCCCGGGACUGCUGUGUCCGGCCGAUCGGAGGAGAAGACGGCAGUCCCGGCGGACGCGGAGCGGCCUCCCCUCUCUGCAGUUGUCAGGCUGAGGGGCUGAGGCCGGCGGAGGUGCCGGAGCUGCCGGGGCGCCCUGCUCCCUGCCCGGGCAAGCUCGCUGACCCGCCUCGGAUGGUCACUUCCAUGGCCAGCAGGGCAGAGCUGGCUGCCGGGGGGCACCGUGUGCGUGCAGAAACACCGUCACUGCCCCUUCUGCGCCAAGCCUCGGAGAGUUAGCGAGAAUUAACUUCGCGCAUUGCAAGCAAAGGAAAAAAAACCCAAAACACUGCGAAAAAAAAAAAAAAAGGGCGGGGGGGAGAAGGGGGAAAGGAGGUAAAAGAGUCGUUAGGAAACGGGCAAUUAAAACCGACAGAGCCACUAAUGAAAGGGAAAAAAAAAAAAAGGGAGCAGAGGGGCUCGGUUGUGCCAGCUUUGCACAGUCAGGGGCCGGCUGCUUCAAGGGCCGUCGCUGCCCAAAGGAGCCUGAACACUAUGCGGGCUCUGCCGGGGGUGCCCAAGACCCGCUGCCGGCGCUAGUACCUCUAACGACAUCAACACUGCGAUUUGUUUUGAAUGUUCAUUUUUAUUGGUGUUCUCCCUUUGCCAAAAUGUGCUUGAUUACAUAGAUGUAGUGCAGUGAUAACUGCGCACCCUAGACAGCCUAGGUGUAACCGGGAAAGUUCAGCCCAGGCCAGAUCAAAUCCCAGGCUGUUUAAUGCUGGAAGGCUGCAUGUU
rnacentral:lncRNA from 1 species